rnacentral:piRNA from 1 species
UAGCAUUCUCCAUAAUGACUGUUUGCCUGU